rnacentral:lncRNA from 1 species
UUAUAUUGGUUUAGUUUGGUUUGGUUUUGACUAAAGAAAAAGUCAACUGUUUGAAAAACUGAAUUGAACUGGUUUGGUUUGGUUCAACUGCGGUUUGGGAGUUUUGUAAACAGUCCUAAACCAAACCAGACUGAUUAAAAAUGAAUUUAUUAUUUGUUUAAUUUAAUUUGCAUGUGGCAAGGCUUGAAUGGGUAUUUAAAAAGUGUACCAUGUACCCUUUGGCACCUGAUUGGACUCCAAAACUAAAACUCAUAGACUACUCUAUCUGACCUCUCUCAUUCCUUAAUUUCCUAACCCUAGCUGCAACUCCCUCUCCCUCUCAAGCUCUCACUCUCGUUCUCGUUCAACCUCAAAGCUCAACUCCAUCAUUGACCACCAUGUUCAACCUCAAAGCUCAACUCCUCCUGCUCCUCCUCCUUCAUCUAUAGAUUCUACUGCACCCACUUCCAUCAAGAAAGCCAGAGGCUGACCACCUAGUUCUACUAAGAAGCAACUAUUGGAUGCUUUGGGUAAAGCUUUUUUCUUUUUAUUAUUCUAAAUGGGUUUUCCUUGAAUCCUUUGAAUCUUAUUGGGUUGCUUUAAUUUUUUGUGGGUUGUGUUUUAAAUUUGCAUUGUUAUGUGUCUUUGAUAUUGCAAUUGUUUUUCUUUGUGUUUACCCUUGUUUGCCGCAUGGUGAUUUUUCAAUGUUUGAGUGAGUCGUUGGGUUUUAAUUUAAGGCAAUAGUGGCUUUGACUUAUUCACAUAUCAGGAUCAACUAAGUUCUAUUUUUAUGUACUUAUAAACCUCAGUCAAACAAAGGGAGAAGACAUACAUCAUCAGACACACAAACCUAUUUUUCGUCUUGCAUUUUUUCCCUUAGACUUAGGAUUUUACUUUUCAAGCACUUAGUGUAGCGAGUUCUUCCUUUUCUUAGUGUAAGUUUAGUUUCUUGCAAUUUACAUUAUAUUAUCUUUUAAAUUCAAGUCUAUGUCAAUUGCUUUACUUUUCAUUGUUAUAGCAUUUUCAUUAAGUUUAAUUUCAAGUAUAAUUUAGUUUAUCAUUCUUAUUUCAUUCUUGCUUUAUUUUACGUUUAUGUAAUACCCCAAAAAAUUAAAGGUGGACUUUCAUAUUUCAGUGAGAAUAGUAUUAUAGUGAAGAAUGAUUAUUGGUAUUUUAUCAACUGAUUUUGGAUUGAGAGUAUUGGAUUAAGUGUGUUUAAUUUCAAGUUGGACAACAAUGCCCUUACAUAACAUUUUGUGAAUUUUUCAAAGACAUUAAAGACAUUGAAGUGAGACAAUUAUGAUUCUUAGGUAAGAUUGUAGUAGUCGACUCAACGAACAUGUAGGAAAUCAUUUUUUAAUUUUGGGCCAAAAUGACCAAAAUACCCUAUAUGUGAAAAUUACCAAAAUACCCUUGUAGAAAAAAGAAAAAGAAAAAAAAAGAGGAAUGAAUCUGAAACGUGGAGAGCAGCAACCCCCUUCCACCAAUAUUUUUCAAAUGACAGAUGCAGCGGCUACACCAUGUUAUAUUGUAGCUGUCGCUCAUAUUUGACACAUGUGUAGACUUGGACGUGUUGGUCAUCGCAUUUUCGCAAUUCCCAGCCACCAGAUCAUGCUUUCGAAUUACCUUCGUUCUCUGUCUUUUAGGAUUUCAUUGUUUUGUUUCUAUUCUUGUUUCCUCUGUUUAUUUUUCAUACAUUGAGGACAAUGUGUGAUUUAAGUUUUGGAGUGGGAAAGUAAAUUUUAAAUUUUUAUUUUUGUUGAGUCUUGUUUAAAAUUUUCUUUUUUAAGUUAAUAUCCAUAGAUAAUUUUAAACGUUAGAACAAAUGGACAUGGUGAAGAUUAAUCUCACAGUAGAGUCUUUUCUAUUUAUUGUUGCUUAGACACUAAUUCAUGAAUUAUACUUUGAAAUUUGCACAUCAUACUAACAUGGUUUGUGGGGAGUGAGAUUGAAAUACGUACCUUUUGUCUAAGUGUGUUUUAAUUUUUGUUCAAUAUAAAUGAAGUUAGUAUGUGUUAUAAAGUAAUAAUUGCCUCACCCGAAGCUUUGCUAGUAACCGGGCCAAUCCUGCAUAAUCAGCAGUGAUUCUUGAGUCAAACGGUAGAAUUUUGGCAUGAGGCUAGGUGGUUAGUUGGUUUCGUAGCCUUUCCAGCUUGAGUUAAUAAGUCCUUAGGGGUGUUCUACACCUAGUGCCCUAAAGCCUUAGUGGUUUGGGAGUCAUUGACCUAAAUCUAGCUACAUGGGUUGGAUCGAAAGCUUAAGGGAACCGACAUUGCACAACCACUACUGUUACUGAAAAAAAAAAUUCAAAAAAGAAAAGAAAAAAAAGAAUUGUGAAGUUAGUAUGUGAAGUAUGAAUAAAAGGGAUGAGAGGUAAGGGUUUUGGUCGAGUCUCCUUAAUUAUGAUGGAUCACUCUACACCGAAGAAAGUUUAUGAAUUAUUUUCUAAUUGACUCUAAAUGGCUUAGACUCUGUAGUGGGAUUGGUUGGAACUUUUCAAAAUACGUUUUGGUUUUUAACAUUUUCUAUGGAUUGCAACUUGAAUGGAAAUUUUGUUUAGCUAGGUUUUAUUUAAAGUUUUUAGUUCGUUAGUUUUUGUGUUUGUUUUCUAGAUUUGCUUUGCUUGAGGACAAGCAAAAGCUAAGUUUGGGGGAUUUUGAUGGGUAUAUUUUAUAUUAUAUAUUUAACCCCAUUCUUAGUAUAUUUUGGUUAAUAUUUUGGAAGAAUUUUGAUACUUUGAAUUAUAUUCCCAAUAUAGGUCUUUCGACUUCCUUUGGAGCAAAACAUAAUCAAAUGGAAGAAUUUUGGAGUAAUUUCAGUUGGAGGACGUUCGUGAGUCACUUAGCUUGAUCGUAUCGAAAUUUUAGAUUUUUCUACCAAGCGGUUAUUUUCUGACAAUAAAAUAAAGGAGCAGUGCACGGUGCUGGAAUAGUGAUAUUUUGGAUUUUUAUUGUAUUUUGGUGCCCAAAAUGACCUCGGAUGGGUUUGUGGCCUUCUGGAGAAGUGUUCAGAAUAUUUUUAUCUUUAAAAUAAGCUAUCUUAGGCCAGAUUUGGAGGAGAUUCGAGGCCAAAAUGUGGCUGGGCAGAUUGUGGGCAGAUUCUCCUAUAAUCCAAUUUGGACUUUAUAUCUUAGUAUUAUUUCAUUUUUUAACUUAGUUUCCUUGUGGGGAUUGGGAAACUGGGUUUGGGGAUUGGGAAACUGGGUUUUAGGGGGGUAUUUAAGCUGGUUUUCAUAGCAAUUUUGGGACUUCUUUUUUGGCUUUUGAACGGGACAUUGUGGAGAGCAAUUGCUAGGGUUUUAGAGUUUUUGCGACUUUAAAGUGUUUUCAUUCUUUUCAUUCUUAAUAAUAUUUUUCAUGAUUUCAAUUAUGAAUAUGCGUAACUAAUUUUCUUUUGCUAGGGUGAAGCCUUGAACCUUAGCAUGAAUAUGUAAUUUUUAUUUAAUUGCUUAUGAUUGAUUGCAU